rnacentral:rRNA from 1 species
AUUGAACGCUGGCGGCAUGCCUUACACAUGCAAGUCGAACGGCAGCGCGGACUUCGGUCUGGCGGCGAGUGGCGAACGGGUGAGUAAUACAUCGGAACGUACCCUGUUGUGGGGGAUAACUAGUCGAAAGAUUAGCUAAUACCGCAUACGACCUACGGGUGAAAGUGGGGGACCUUCGGGCCUCACGCGAUGAGAUGAGCCGAUGCCGGAUUAGCUAGUUGGCGGGGUAAAGGCCCACCAAGGCGACGAUCCGUAGCUGGUCUGAGAGGAUGAUCAGCCACACUGGAACUGAGACACGGUCCAGACUCCUACGGGAGGCAGCAGUGGGGAAUAUUGGACAAUGGGGGCGAACCCUGAUCCAGCCAUGCCGCGUGAGUGAAGAAGGCCCUCGGGUUGUAAAGCUCUUUUGUCCGGAAAGAAAAGCAAUCGGUUAAUACCCGGUUGUUCUGACGGUACCGGAAGAAUAAGCACCGGCUAACUUCGUGCCAGCAGCCGCGGUAA